GGUUAAGCGACUAAGCGUACACGGUGGAUGCCCUGGCAGUCAGAGGCGAUGAAGGACGUGCUAAUCUGCGAUAAGCGUCGGUAAGGUGAUAUGAACCGUUAUAACCGGCGAUUUCCGAAUGGGGAAACCCAGUGUGUUUCGACACACUAUCAUUAACUGAAUCCAUAGGUUAAUGAGGCGAACCGGGGAACUGAAACAUCUAAGUACCCCGAGGAAAAGAAAUCAACCGAGAUUCCCCCAGUAGCGGCGAGCGAACGGGGAGCAGCCCAGAGCCUGAAUCAGUGUGUGUGUUAGUGGAAGCGUCUGGAAAGGCGCGCGAUACAGGGUGACAGCCCCGUACACAAAAAUGCACAUGCUGUGAGCUCGAUGAGUAGGGCGGGACACGUGGUAUCCUGUCUGAAUAUGGGGGACCAUCCUCCAAGGCUAAAUACUCCUGACUGACCGAUAGUGAACCAGUACCGUGAGGGAAAGGCGAAAAGAACCCCGGCGAGGGGAGUGAAAAAGAACCUGAAACCGUGUACGUACAAGCAGUGGGAGCACGCUUAGGCGUGUGACUGCGUACCUUUUGUAUAAUGGGUCAGCGACUUAUAUUCUGUAGCAAGGUUAACCGAAUAGGGGAGCCGAAGGGAAACCGAGUCUUAACUGGGCGUUAAGUUGCAGGGUAUAGACCCGAAACCCGGUGAUCUAGCCAUGGGCAGGUUGAAGGUUGGGUAACACUAACUGGAGGACCGAACCGACUAAUGUUGAAAAAUUAGCGGAUGACUUGUGGCUGGGGGUGAAAGGCCAAUCAAACCGGGAGAUAGCUGGUUCUCCCCGAAAGCUAUUUAGGUAGCGCCUCGUGAAUUCAUCUCCGGGGGUAGAGCACUGUUUCGGCAAGGGGGUCAUCCCGACUUACCAACCCGAUGCAAACUGCGAAUACCGGAGAAUGUUAUCACGGGAGACACACGGCGGGUGCUAACGUCCGUCGUGAAGAGGGAAACAACCCAGACCGCCAGCUAAGGUCCCAAAGUCAUGGUUAAGUGGGAAACGAUGUGGGAAGGCCCAGACAGCCAGGAUGUUGGCUUAGAAGCAGCCAUCAUUUAAAGAAAGCGUAAUAGCUCACUGGUCGAGUCGGCCUGCGCGGAAGAUGUAACGGGGCUAAACCAUGCACCGAAGCUGCGGCAGCGACGCUGAUGCGUUGUUGGGUAGGGGAGCGUUCUGUAAGCCUGCGAAGGUGUGCUGUGAGGCAUGCUGGAGGUAUCAGAAGUGCGAAUGCUGACAUAAGUAACGAUAAAGCGGGUGAAAAGCCCGCUCGCCGGAAGACCAAGGGUUCCUGUCCAACGUUAAUCGGGGCAGGGUGAGUCGACCCCUAAGGCGAGGCCGAAAGGCGUAGUCGAUGGGAAACAGGUUAAUAUUCCUGUACUUGGUGUUACUGCGAAGGGGGGACGGAGAAGGCUAUGUUGGUAGGGCGACGGUUGUCCCGGUUUAAGCGUGUAGGCUGGUUUUCCAGGCAAAUCCGGAAAAUCAAGGCUGAGGCGUGAUGACGAGGCACUACGGUGCUGAAGCAACAAAUGCCCUGCUUCCAGGAAAAGCCUCUAAGCAUCAGGUAACAUCAAAUCGUACCCCAAACCGACACAGGUGGUCAGGUAGAGAAUACCAAGGCGCUUGAGAGAACUCGGGUGAAGGAACUAGGCAAAAUGGUGCCGUAACUUCGGGAGAAGGCACGCUGAUAUGUAGGUGAAGUCCCUCGCGGAUGGAGCUGAAAUCAGUCGAAGAUACCAGCUGGCUGCAACUGUUUAUUAAAAACACAGCACUGUGCAAACACGAAAGUGGACGUAUACGGUGUGACGCCUGCCCGGUGCCGGAAGGUUAAUUGAUGGGGUUAGCGCAAGCGAAGCUCUUGAUCGAAGCCCCGGUAAACGGCGGUACCGUAACUAUAACGGUCCUAAGGUAGCGAAAUUCCUUGUCGGGUAAGUUCCGACCUGCACGAAUGGCGUAAUGAUGGCGAGGCUGUCUCCACCCGAGACUCAGUGAAAUUGAACUCGCUGUGAAGAUGCAGUGUACCCGCGGCAAGACGGAAAGACCCCGUGAACCUUUACUAUAGCUUGACACUGAACAUUGAGCCUUGAUGUGUAGGAUAGGUGGGAGGCUUAGAAGUGUGGACGCCAGUCUGCAUGGAGCCGACCUUGAAAUACCACCCUUUAAUGUUUGAUGUUCUAACGUUGACCCGUAAUCCGGGUUGCGGACAGUGUCUGGUGGGUAGUUUGACUGGGGCGGUCUCCUCCUAAAGAGUAACGGAGGAGCACGAAGGUUGGCUAAUCCUGGUCGGACAUCAGGAGGUUAGUGCAAUGGCAUAAGCCAGCUUGACUGCGAGCGUGACGGCGCGAGCAGGUGCGAAAGCAGGUCAUAGUGAUCCGGUGGUUCUGAAUGGAAGGGCCAUCGCUCAACGGAUAAAAGGUACUCCGGGGAUAACAGGCUGAUACCGCCCAAGAGUUCAUAUCGACGGCGGUGUUUGGCACCUCGAUGUCGGCUCAUCACAUCCUGGGGCUGAAGUAGGUCCCAAGGGUAUGGCUGUUCGCCAUUUAAAGUGGUACGCGAGCUGGGUUUAGAACGUCGUGAGACAGUUCGGUCCCUAUCUGCCGUGGGCGCUGGAGAACUGAGGGGGCUGCUCCUAGUACGAGAGGACCGGAGUGGACGCAUCACUGGUGUUCGGGUUGUCAUGCCAAUGGCACUGCCCGGUAGCUAAAUGCGGAAGAGAUAAGUGCUGAAAGCAUCUAAGCACGAAACUUGCCCCGAGAUGAGUUCUCCCUGACCCUUUAAGGGUCCUGAAGGAACGUUGAAGACGACGACGUUGAUAGGCCGGGUGUGUAAGCGCAGCGAUGCGUUGAGCUAACCGGUACUAAUGAACCGUGAGGCUUAACCUU
rnacentral:rRNA from 1 species